GAGGUAGGAGGAUGACUUGAGCUCAGGAGGUCGAGGCUGCAGUGAGUUAUGAUCAUACCACUGCACUCCAGCCUGAGGGACAGAGCAAGAC
rnacentral:miRNA from 1 species